GACGGAGGGUGCGAGCGUUGUCCGGAAUCAUUGGGCGUAAAGCGCGCGUAGGCGGCCCUGUAAGUCCGUUGUGAAAGUCAAAGGCUCAACCUUUGAAAGCCGAUGGAUACUGCAGGGCUAGAGUCCGGAAGAGGCGAGUGGAAUUCCUGGUGUAGCGGUGGAAUGCGCAGAUAUCAGGAGGAACACCAAUAGCGAAGGCAGCUCGCUGGGACGGUACUGACGCUAAGGCGCGAAAGCGUGGGGAGCGAACAGG
rnacentral:rRNA from 1 species